AAGAGCGAGCGAGUGAGAGACAGAGAGAGAGAGAAAGAGAGAGAGAGAGAGAGUUCCUCAAGAGAGCCGGGAGCCAGGGUAGGGACCAAAAGGGCUGGAAGAAAAGAUGAGAAGGAGGAAUGAAGUUUGCUUUUAUCUGCAAAUGUUGCUAAGAAAGAAUCCAUCGUUCAAUGUACCGUGGUCCACUCUGCACUUUAGGGUCUCAGGCUUUACCCAGAACCUGGAGCAAGACCACUUCAACUCUUGCAAGAAAUUCACAGAGUCUCGAUCUGUUGCCCAGGCUGGAGUGCCAGCAUGAUUAUGGCUCCUUGCAGCCUCAGUCUCCUGAGCUCAAGUGAUCUUCCCACCUCAGCCUUCUGAGUAGCUGGGACCACAGGCACAUGCCACCAUGCCCAGCUAAUUUUUUAUUUUUAUUAUUUUGUAGACACGGGUUCUCACUGUGUUGCCCAGGCUAGUCUUCAACUCCUGGGCUCAAGUGAUACUCACCUCAGCCUCCCAAAGUGAUGGAAUUACAGGCGUGAGCCACUGCGCUCAGCUCAUGUGAUUUCUUAGCCUCCUCCCGCACUAACUCUGGGCU
rnacentral:lncRNA from 10 species